AUGGUCUAGUGGUUAAGACUCUGUACUUUCACUCCAGGGGGCAAAGGUUACAUCCCUUUU
rnacentral:tRNA from 1 species